rnacentral:rRNA from 1 species
UACGUAGGGUGCGAGCGUUGUCCGGAAUUACUGGGCGUAAAGAGCUCGUAGGUGGUUUGUCGCGUUGUUCGUGAAAACUCACAGCUUAACUGUGGGCGUGCGGGCGAUACGGGCAGACUGGAGUACUGCAGGGGAGACUGGAAUUCCUGGUGUAGCGGUGAAAUGCGCAGAUAUCAGGAGGACACCGGUGGCGAAGGCGGGAUCUCUGGGCCGAUACUGACGCUGAGGAGCGAAAGCGUGGGGAGCGAACAGG